AUGGGGCUGCGGGCACAGUGCCCGCCCUCACCCCCAGGACACCCCCUUUCCGCCUCUCUCCCCUUCCUUCCUGAGGCUGGGGAGGGGGUUCGCGGCGCAGAGGAGCUCACUGCCGCGAGGGUGCCCGGCUUCCCGCGGGGGCUGCGUCCCGGGGCGGUUCCCGGCCUCCCACCGCCCCGCCUGCGCCCCUGCCCCGCGGGAGAAACGCGAGGCCCUUCUACAGCCGGAGGAGCGGCGGCCCGGCUCCGCGGACCCCGCCGCCAUCCGACCUCGCCCCACAACGCGCACCCCCGGCAGGGCCACGGAGCGCCAUCUGCGCUUCCCCAAGAGACGGGGCGCGCGGGCCGGGGGGUCAACUUAGCGCACAAAUGUAGGGCUCGGGGGUCGCGGGUCUUGGCUUUGGGGACGGGGCGGGGGGACGGAGCGUUGCGGCCGGAGAGGGCUCGGCCUCCCGCUGGGGAUCGCGGGGGUCCUGCCGAGGGCGCCGCUCCUCCAUGCUCCAGUGGGGCCCUGGAAAAACCCCGCGCGCGGGGGAGAGGCGGGCCAGCUCGUAAGGACGGCGGGAACAAAGGCGGCCCGCGGCCGGAUGCAGUCAUGGAAAAACCCAACGGGGCGCCGGGGCGGGGGCGGCAGGGGAGAGGCGGCGCGCGCCCCGCAGCCCUGCCACCCCCGCGGCCGGCCCGGGCGGGGCUGCUCUCGGCCCCCGCCCCGGAGCGCUCCCGGCCGGCGGAGCGCGGAGGCCCGGCAAAACCGAGGCCGCUGGACCGGGAGGGGAGGCCCGCGCCUGGGGCCGGAGAACCCGGGGCCCCCACGCUCCGGAUGCUUUCGGCCGCGAGGCGAGGGCAGGGUGGCCCGGGCUGGUACCCGCCUGGCACACGCAGCGCCGCACACGCCACCUGGCAGCUGCGGCACCCGGGGCGGCCGGCCCGUAGGGGGCGCACGGACCCCCGCGCGCAGGCCCGGACGCGUGUUCGGCGGCGCGCACGCUCCUCCUGCACACACAGGAUCACUUACACGCACGUGCGCACUGACACGCGAGCUGCCCCUCGCUCCCGGGGCAGAGCGAGGGAAAGGGUCCGAGCGAGAGGGGCCCGAGUGGUUGUUGGUUAG
rnacentral:lncRNA from 1 species